rnacentral:tRNA from 1 species
GGGGCGGUGGGGUGCGGGAACCGUAGUGCUCUUGAAAACCGCUCUAGGGCCGGUGACGGUCCUCGUGGGUUCGAAUCCCACGCUCUCCGC